rnacentral:rRNA from 1 species
AUUGAACGCUGGCGGCAUGCCUUACACAUGCAAGUCGAACGGCAGCGGACCUUUGGGUGCCGGCGAGUGGCGAACGGGUGAGUAAUGCAUCGGAACGUGCCAUUGAGUGGGGGAUAACGUAGCGAAAGUUACGCUAAUACCGCAUAUUCUGUGAGCAGGAAAGCAGGGGACCGCAAGGCCUUGCGCUCUUUGAGCGGCCGAUGUCAGAUUAGCUAGUUGGUGAGGUAAAGGCUUACCAAGGCGACGAUCUGUAGCGGGUCUGAGAGGAUGAUCCGCCACACUGGAACUGAGACACGGUCCAGACUCCUACGGGAGGCAGCAGUGGGGAAUUUUGGACAAUGGGCGCAAGCCUGAUCCAGCCAUGCCGCGUGAGUG